UACGUAGGGGGCAAGCGUUGUCCGGAAUCAUUGGGCGUAAAGAGCGUGUAGGCGGCCCGGUAAGUCCGCUGUGAAAGUCCAGGCUCAACCCUGGGAUGCCGGUGGAUACUGUCGGGCUCGAGUCCGGAAGAGGAGUGUGGAAUUCCUGGUGUAGCGGUGAAAUGCGCAGAUAUCAGGAGGAACACCAAUGGCGAAGGCAGCACUCUGGGACGUGACUGACGCUGAGGCGCGAAGGCCAGGGGAGCAAACGGG
rnacentral:rRNA from 1 species